CGCGAAACCUACGAGGCUUACGUCAUCUACAACUUCGUCGCGUUCAUUCUCGCGUGGCUCGAGCAGGAGGCGGGCUUCAACUUCACCA
rnacentral:ribozyme from 1 species